UUUUUUACAGGAUGUGCACAUGCCGCAGCACAAAUUGUGGAGAGUUUAUCAGUAGCAAGACUCCUGGAUGAAAACAUCAUGAAACUUAUUUUAGUUGCUUCUUAAAGACUGGAUCAGCUCAGAGAUGCAUACUGACAAUGAUUUCUAGGUACCUGAGUGACCUGUGUUUUCAUUUGCACCACGAGCGCCAUCGUUCCUGGGAAGGACAACAGGAGCAGCAGGUACUUAGCAUUGGAAGAUUAGUUUUCUUCAACAGUGACCAUCCUGUGGCUUGCAGGUUAUAGCUAACCCUUACUUCAGCUCAUGAUCUGCACUUUCCCACCCUCUCUCCAAAGCACAUCAGACACCCUUGAGCAGGGAAAUGGCCCCUCUGGGUCAGUGGCAGAUGAAAUGUAUUGUGCCUCCAGCUAAACAGUUUUAAAAUGGGCUUUGAUUUGUAUAUGGCUGCAGGUAUAUUACAUUGCAAAUAACGGCAGCAGGUUGGAUUCUGGGAUCCAGGAGGUCCUGUGUGCCACAAGAGGCACCAAAACUGCCCAAGAAUUUGGAGUUGGUCUAUGGUGCAGAAGCUUUGUUUUCAAAUUGUUAAAUCAUUUCUGCUUUUUUGCUCAAUUUUAAAAGCAAAAACCUUCCUAACAAGUAGUCAUCUCACGUGGGUCAGGCCAGUUUGACCGUUGCACAUAUAGCCAGAGUGUGAGUACCUAGAAAGUUUAAUCAGUUAUUUGGACCCUUACAUAUUUUUUCAAAAGUCUGAUUAUUGGCUUGAAGUUUCGUCUUUCAGAUCUUCAGCAUACAUCUUUAACCAGUUUACUUUGGCCAGUUUUAGACUACUUUCAUAUUCAAAAUAUUUCAGGCUUACUCAGGCAAAAGGGAGGGCUACAUGAGGCCUCUUAUUUGCUCUCUUCAUUGGUGUGCAUUGUCAAUCACCCCAUAUUUUUCAAAGUUUUUUUGUUUAGAAAUGUAUCUAGUUUCCUUUUGAUCUCAUUAUAGCUCCUUAUUUCCAUGACCAAUCUGGGUAACAUAUUCCAUAUGCUUGCUUCCCUUUUGUUAGUAAGCUCUUUCAGUCUCUGUCUUUCUUUGAUGGAGGUAUACGUCAGGCUCGGUUGAUUGCCACUUGAAAGCUGGGAAGUGCCCUUAGUUCUUUGUCAAAUUCAUUUUGCCUCAAACACUCUUUCUCUUACGCUGUACAUAAUGUUGCUUUGCUUAGGUGUUUGCAUAUUUGCAGUAAUUGCUUUAUCUCUGCCAGGAUAUUAUUUUUACAGCUGCCCUUUCCUUUGAUACAAGGAAGUGUUAGCGUUUGAGAGGGAGGGAGCUGGUGGGGGAUCAGCAGCAGCUGUUUGCGCUGUCCCUGAGCUGGGCUGUGCAGCACGGACCAGCCACCCAGAGCACCAGCAACUGAGCUUUUCCAUAAAGGACAAGAAAAAAUACAAGCCAAAGCUAAUGUAAAAAUGAGCAGAUGGCAAUGUCAGGGCCCUGAGAGCACUAAUAGGCCUUAAUGGUCCUGACUGGCCUCACCUGGGGCCUUCCCACUCCACCCUUAGGAGCCCAGUUUAGCUUGGUGGUGUGGUGGUGCUGUCCUUACUAACUCUUCAUCUCACGUGUGAUCUUUUUUGCAAUGUAUUGCAUGAAAAACCAUUCCAGGUAAUGGUUUGCUUCUUACUGGUUCUUUGUUAGCUAUGGGCCAAAGGACAGCGGGUGGCAGCUGAAGGGAGACAGAGAUUAUCCGCUUUGCAGAUAAUGCCACUUAAAAUGCUUGAUAACUGCAGGAAAACCUAAGAAGAGAAAAUGCAGCUGGGGACAGGGAAGGGGAGAUUGGAAAAAAAUAAACUAAAAUGUGGCUGCUAGAGUCA
ensembl:lncRNA